AUUGAACGCUAGCGGGAUGCUUUACACAUGCAAGUCGAACGAGUGGCGGACGGGUUAGUAAUAUAUCGGAACGUGCCCAGUAGCGGGGUAUAACUACUCUAAAGAGUGGCUAAUACCCCAUACUAUUGGAACGGCCGAUAUAGGAUUAGCUAGUUGGUGGGGUAAAGGCUCACCAAGGCAACGAUCCGUAGCUGGUUUGAGCGGCGGACCAGCCACACUGGGACUGGGACACGGCCCAGACUCCGACGGGAGGCAGCAGUGGGGAAGUGUGCACAAUGGGGGAAACCCGGAUCCAGCCAUCCCGCGUGUAUGAGAAGGCCUGCGGGUUGUAAAGUACUUUUGGCAGAGAAGCGGUAUCUGCAGAAUAAGCACCGGCUAACUACGUGCCAGCCGCCGCGGUAAUAC
rnacentral:rRNA from 1 species